CGAGACCGGCGAGUGGCGCAGGUGUCGCUCAUUAUCAUUAACUCCACCGGCCUCGCUCCGUUCCCACGGCUCUCGGCCCCGCCCCACUCGCCACAGGACCCCAAUCCCCCUGCAGUAACCUGGAGUAAAGACACCGGUGGUGACGACAGCGGAGAUCGAACCAGUUCACUACACCACAAAAGUAGUUGUUCUCAUGGAGAGCAGGCACACAAAUGUUUGGAGCAGACACAGCAGCAGUCAGAUUGUCCUCUCCUGCUCUUGCUUCUAGAUUGUGUGGUUCAGGGGUGUCAUCAUGGUCUUCAUCAUCCUCUCUGUGCACUCAGACAACGAUAGCCUCGAUGUCCCUUUCCCAUCCAUGAUCAGAUUCAGUCUGACUGCAGCAAUGAGGGUCGUGAUGGACAGCAGAGACAAGUGAAGGUAGACACGGUGGUCAGCUGCUUCAUCAGAAUAAAGCUGCAGAA